UUGGACCUGAUAUCAGGCAAGAUUACCCGCUGAACUUAAGCAA
rnacentral:rRNA from 1 species